rnacentral:rRNA from 1 species
AAGGUAGCGAAAUUCCUUGUCGGGUAAGUUCCGACCCGCACGAAAGGCGUAACGAUUUGGGCACUGUCUCAACGAGAGACUCGGUGAAAUCAUAGUACCUGUGAAGAUGCAGGUUACCCGCGACAGGACGGAAAGACCCCGUGGAGCUUUACUGUAGCCUGAUAUUGAAAUUCGGCACAGCUUGUACAGGAUAGGUAGGAGCCUUUGAAACGUGAGCGCUAGCUUACGUGGAGGCGCUGGUGGGAUACUACCCUAGCUGUGUUGGCUUUCUAACCCGCACCACUUAUCGUGGUGGGAGACAGUGUCAGGCGGGCAGUUUGACUGGGGCGGUCGCCUCCUAAAAGGUAACGGAGGCGCUCAAAGGUUCCCUCAGAAUGGUUGGAAAUCAUUCAUAGAGUGUAAAGGCAUAAGGGAGCUUGACUGCGAGACCUACAAGUCGAG